GAUGAAGAACGUAGCGAAAUGCGAUAAGUAAUGCGAAUUGCAGAAUUCAGUGAGUCAUCGAAUCUUUGAACGCACAUUGCGCCCAGUGGUAUUCCGCAGGGCAUGCCUGUUCGAGCGUCAUUUCAACCCUCAAGCUCUGCUUGGUGUUGGGCCCUGCCCGCUGCGGCCGGCCCUAAAGACAGUGGCGGUGCCGCCUGGCCCUGAGCGUAGUACAUCUCUCGCUCCAGUGCCCGGUGGUAGCCUGCCAGAACCCCAACUCUCGUGGUUGACCUCGGAUCAGGUAGGGAUACCCGCUGAACUUAAGCAUAUCAAUAAGCGGAGGA
rnacentral:misc_RNA from 1 species